AUUGAACGCUGGCGGCAGGCCUAACACAUGCAAGUCGAGCGGAUGAAGGGAGCCUGCUCCUGGAUUCAGCGGCGGACGGGUGAGUAAUGCCUAGGAAUCUGCCUGGUAGUGGGGGAUAACGUCCGGAAACGGGCGCUAAUACCGCAUACGUCCUGAGGGAGAAAGUGGGGGAUCUUCGGACCUCACGCUAUCAGAUGAGCCUAGGUCGGAUUAGCUAGUUGGUGGGGUAAAGGCCUACCAAGGCGACGAUCCGUAACUGGUCUGAGAGGAUGAUCAGUCACACUGGAACUGAGACACGGUCCAGACUCCUACGGGAGGCAGCAGUGGGGAAUAUUGGACAAUGGGCGAAAGCCUGAUCCAGCCAUGCCGCGUGUGUGAAGAAGGUCUUCGGAUUGUAAAGCACUUUAAGUUGAGAGGAAGGGCAGUAAGUUAAUACCUUGCUGUUUUGACGUUACCAACAGAAUAAGCACCGGCUAACUUCGUG
rnacentral:rRNA from 1 species